rnacentral:rRNA from 1 species
UACGAAGGGGGCAAGCGUUGUUCGGAAUUACUGGGCGUAAAGGGCGCGCAGGCGGCCGAUCAAGUCAGAUGUGAAAGCCCCGGGCUCAACCUGGGAAUAGCAUUUGGGACUGGUCGGCUAGAGUUCGGGAGAGGAGAGUGGAAUUCCCAGUGUAGAGGUGAAAUUCGUAGAUAUUGGGAAGAACACCGGUGGCGAAGGCGGCUCACUGGCCCGUUACUGACGCUCAGGCGCGACAGCGUGGGGAUCAAACAGG